ACGAUAUUAUUGCUUUGCACAAAAAUUCGUUCUGGUGUGAACUUAAUGGUAUGAUGCUUAAUAUCAAUAAGUGCUGGUUUAUGAGAUUUAGCAGGCAAAGAGGUCAACAGGCUAUGUCAAGCUGUUGUCAAGUUCAGAUUUAAUCUUCUAAAAUUGGGUACAGUUUUAAACACCUAUCAGACUAUUUUAUAUAUUUUUCUUAGCACUCUAUGAAUACACAGAGAGUUUAUGUAUAUUUGUUUUUAAAGUCCUUAAUGGUGUUCCUUCAAAACCAUAAUUAUGAUAAAAUUUCUCUGGAAACACCACUGGAUUUCUGAAUACGAAAUUAAUAACCUCAAAAUAUAAGAAAAUCAAACAAAUUCUGUCAAAUAAUGUGAUCGAUAAAAAUGGUCGAUCAAGGAAAAAUUAUUCGUAUUUCACUUGAAUCAGUUGGAACACAAUUCAUGCAAACUGGAUAGAAAGUGGCAAACAUUAAGUGGUGCAACCGGUUAUACAAAACGCAAUAUUCCUAUUUCAAAAUUAUAUGGACUUCGAACGGGAAGAUAUGGACAUCGAAAAUCUUUAGUUUCAACAGAAUGAUGCCAUUAUACAGCACGAGAAAUAUUACAAUUACGGCUCACUAAGUUUCCAGAUCGCAUUAUUUACUCCCAUUGGUCCCCAUUAUCUUGUGGCCUAAUUUUCUCCAUCCUUAUUCGAUUUGGAGAUAUUUUAAGACAACAGUCAAGAGGACGCAAAAUAUAUAACAUAGAACCAGAUUUGUGCUGCAUAAUAGAAAAAUUCUUCAAACUUCAAAUUUACGCCAUAUAUGCAUCGCGUAAAAUUAGGUAAAAGCCUUUACCUAAUUUCAUGCAUAAUUGUAAUAACUGCCUUCCAAAGGCAAAUAAAUGUUUUUUUUUCAA
rnacentral:lncRNA from 1 species